UGCCCGAGAGCAGUGUCUUAAGAACAAAUGA
rnacentral:piRNA from 1 species